rnacentral:lncRNA from 1 species
UUUACAAUAUUGAAGAAAUUUUUCUUUCACACUUUCUACUUCUUGUGAGUGAAAAUGACAAGAUUGGUUUAGUUACCUGGUUGUUAAGGUUUGUGGUUGAAUCGGAGUGGGAAAUAUUCUCAAACUCAUCUGAGUGCUUCCUUGGUCUCUAUCCAUCCUCUGCGGCAUGGUUGUGUUCUUGAGUUGAGUAGGGAGAGGUUUGCAUGUUUCUAACUGAGAGUCAAGAUCAUGGUAUGAGUAUGAUAUGAGUGUACAAUUUAUGUACUUU